rnacentral:rRNA from 1 species
AACGAACGCUGGCGGCGUGGAUAAGACAUGCAAGUCGAACGGGACAAGUAGCAAUAUUUGUCUAGUGGCGAACGGGUGCGUAACACGUGGGCAACAUGCCUGGAAGAGCGGGAUAGCCCGGGGAAACUCGGAUUAAUACCGCAUGUGACAACGGGGCGGAUUCGCCCUGUUUUCAAAGGUGGGGACCGCAAGGCCUGCCGCUUCCAGAUUGGCCCGCGUCCUAUCAGCUAGUUGGCGGGGUAACGGCCCACCAAGGCGACGACGGGUAGCUGGUCUGGGAGGCCGACCGGCCACACUGGAAAUGAGACACGGUCCAGACACCUACGGGUGGCAGCAGUCGAGAAUCUUUCACAAUGGGGGAAGCCCUGAUGGAGCGACGCCGCGUGGAGGAUGACGGUCUUCGGAUUGUAAACUCCUGUCAUGAAAGAACAAGCGGAGCGGGUGAACAGCCCGCCGAGUUGAUAGUAUUUCAAGAGGAAGGGACGGCUAACUUCGUGCCAGCCGCCGCCGUAAGAC